GCCCGCUUCCUUCCCACCGGCGCCGCCGGCUACGUGGCGACGGCCGUCCAGUAGCUUGUCAUGCAGGCGCUGGCGGGCGUGCCGAUGAUCCGCGCCCACUCCCACCCGCUGCGACCCUCCGCCGCACGCCGCAGCUCCGCCAACUGCACGCCACAAAAACCAAAGCUCCGGGGAGGAAAAAGAAGGGCGAGGGAAUCUUGAAUGUUUCUAUUGGACAAGUUUUGUGGAAUCUGAUGUUUUCUAUUCAAUUGGAUGGAAUAAAGCUAGUAGUACGCCUGUGCUGAAAUCGUCCUUGUCUCCUGCUGCCUCUGAAGUCGAUGGUUGCUUAGGAGUUCAGAUGUCCAUUUGCAACUUGCCGACGCUAACCACCACCGGUGACUGCAGGGUCUUGAGAAAGGUGAAAGCAGCUCCACAUUGCUGAUAUCAUACUGCAGAAUUUUUCUUGGCCCUGCUUGUCAUCACUUGCUGAAUGGAAUAUUGGGGCCUGAUUGAUUGAUCACCCUGAGAAGGUCUCGCUAAAAUUUUCGUCGCAAAAGAAGAGAAAAAAAGAAGUCGGCUAAACUUCUUAUGUCUGUGGGAGGGGGUAAGUGCAACGUGUGUCCUGCGUCACCCUUGACUUGCUGUUUAAAUUACUCCUUCUGAUCUUUCCACUAUUGGUGGCAAGGAAAUUCUUAAUUCACUCGCAGUAAUCAAUAGCUAAGUCAAACA